rnacentral:lncRNA from 1 species
GUUUCGCUGUUAGUUUGACGAGGAGGAGCGUUGACGCAAGAGGGUGGAAUUUUAGAGUGACACUGACGUGGAUCACCGGAGGAUAACCUCGUCGCCGGAGCAGUUUUUUGACAUUAAGGAGUUAGCGGGAGGGAGAGAGGAGAUUGGGGUACGGUGUGUGCGAUCUAUGAUAAAAUAUGUACUCUCAUUUAAUCUAAUGGUUGUUAAACAUUGUCCAUCAUGAACCACCUAUUGUGGUUGUUCACGGUAAAAGUUGCCACUAGGACAUAAUAAUUGAGUCUUGGUGUCAUUCACUCUUUGGGGAAUUUAUACAGGAGUGGGGCAUAU